rnacentral:sRNA from 1 species
AACAAGCGGGCUGCCACUUUCCUAAUUUUUUAAAAUACCCAUUCCGUCCCUGAGUAAAUAGUAAAAACAAAAUCCUAAUUUCACAGGCCCAAUUUUUAACCUUGCGCUGCCGCAGCUCCCUUCCUCUCCUCUCCCGUUGUUGCUGGUGCUGCUUUGGUGCACCUCCAUUGUUAUUUUUUAGACGAAGGGUGUGGACCUCCCUCUUCCCACAGUGACCAUCUUUGUCUGCAUCAGUGAAGCGCUGAACUCUUGCACCCCUCUCCCUGUUUUCGUCGUGCUGCACGGUGUGUGUUGACAGAAGGUGGAGCGUGUUGAUUCAGAGGAACUACACCUCCUUCGUUUGAACUCGUUCGUUGCACAUCCUUCGUUGCUUCUCUUUUUAUCAAGGAAUUUGUGCAGGACCGAGAGACUAACCUUUCUGACGUGCCCUUCAUGCUUCCGAACUCUUGGAUCGUCUGAACCGCUCGCUGUCAGUCUGGAUCGCUCGCUUGUCAACUGCUCCGUUCGACCGUCGUUUGCUCCGCUCGGUUGUACUCUUGACUGAAGGGGGAGGUAUCUGCAAAAGGCACUUCGACGCUCAAGUUAGGAGCGGUGUAAUGAACUGUUUAACACAAUUGAGUAUUUGAAUCUCGUAGAGUGUGAGUUGAAUGUAAGUAGAACAUACCCGACUUUUG